UGGGGGAUAUUGCACAAUGGGCGAAAGCCUGAUGCAGCGACGCCGCGUGGGGGAUGAAGGCCUUCGGGUUGUAAACUUCUUUUGCUCUGAACAAGGCGCACCAUGGGGUGUGUUGAGUGUAGGGGUUGAUUAGCGCCGGCUAACUACGUGCCAGCAGCCGCGGUAAUACGUAGGGCGCGAGCGUUGUCCGGAAUUAUUGGGCGUAAAGGGCUUGUAGGUGGCUGGUUGCGUCUGUCGUGAAAGCUCAUGGCUUAACUGUGGGUUUGCGGUGGGUACGGGCUGGCUUGAGUGCAGUAGGGGAGGCUGGAAUUCCUGGUGGAGCGGUGGAAUGCGCAGAUAUCAGGAAGAAUACCGGUGGCGAAGGCGGGUCUCUGGGCUGUUACUGACACUGAGGAGCGAAAGCAUGGGGAGCGAACAGG
rnacentral:rRNA from 1 species